rnacentral:misc_RNA from 1 species
GAAAUGCGAUAAGUAAUGUGAAUUGCAGAAUUCAGUGAAUCAUCGAAUCUUUGAACGCACAUUGCGCCCGCCAGUAUUCUGGCGGGCAUGCCUGUUCGAGCGUCAUUUCAACCAUCAAGCCCCCGGGCUUGUGUUGGGGACCUGCGGCUGCCGCAGGCCCCGAAAACCAGUGGCGGGCUCGCUGUCACACCGGGCGGAGUAGAUUUUUCGUCUCGCCCAGGGCGUGCUGCGGGUUCCGGCCGUUAAAAAGCCUCUCUUUUUAACCCAAGGUUGACCUCGGAUCAGGUAGGAAGACCCGCUGAACUUAAGC